CCAUAUUUUACCUAAAAUAACGCACUUUUCAUUUUUUGUUUUUUGCUUUCUCCUGGCUGUAGAUAAGGUAGCUGGGGUAUCAAAAGUCAAAUGGUAUGCCUGUAAGGGCUCAGCUUGUGCCCUUUAUUAACUUUGGCUCUCGGACUGGGCUCACCUAGGGCCCCCUCUUUUGUAUCCUAUCUUGGGGCAGCCCUGACCAUCAUUAUUCUGUCAUAAUCCUCAGGAUUUCUAUUGUAUGUAUCUAAAACUGAUGGCACCCGUAUCUGUCUUGAUAACUUUGUCCUCAUAGGUCCGUGAAAUUGAUCCCAUGCCAAAUGUAGGACUAUAGAAUGGUUUACAACAGUAUGGAAUCAAAAAUAGUUUUUACAAGGUUUGAGCCUUAGCAGUUUUGCAAAGAGGUACGAAAUCACUAAAGUCUGAAACGAAUGUGGGGCAGACUUGGUGCAGAUUGAUGAUCAAUUAUUUUAAAUGAAAUUUUCUCCAAGAAAGUCCGAUUUUUUUCUUCUCUCGAAUUUUUUAUAUUUUUAUGUUUUAGAAAGAAGAAAAAGAACUGAGGUGUUUGAAAUCCUCGAAGAAAAGUUGGGGAGGCAAGUUUUUGUUCCACAUCAUCGACAAUCGCGCAGUUGAUGGACGAUUCAGUGAAGAUAACGCCCUUGAAAGAAAAUAAUGACAUCAACCAAAGAAGGGAAGGAACAGCUGUCAACCAUCCAGGAGGUGAGAAAGUAGAAAUGAAACAAAAUCUACAAUUUCCGGAAGCUGAACUCAACGAUGACACUGAAGUAGGGGAUGAUGAUGGAUGGACUGAUAUUAGUUCAGAUGAGGAGUCUAGGGAAACUGACAAGGCAAGCUUUAGCUCGGACGACGGUGAACGAUUAUGCAGUCCUCCGCCCAACUUCCAGAAACACGCUCACUUCAAUGAUGAUAUUAUCUACCAAAGAGCCUCCGCGCCUUGCUUGCCCACUUCUAAAGAGAAUCCCCCCUGAAAAGUGCUCUUCGCCCAUCAGCAAGGUAAAUACUGGGAAAGAGAUUUGCAUCGUUUAUGAUGCCCCGUAUAAUUUAUCACUUCCUAGAAAUAUUCUGCUCUGAUU
rnacentral:lncRNA from 1 species